UGGAAGGACCAAACUCCAAAC
rnacentral:piRNA from 1 species